rnacentral:rRNA from 1 species
CCCUUAGAUGUUCUGGGCCGCACGCGUGCUACACUGAGUGGAUCAGCGGGUCAGGUUGCGCGAAAGUGUUUCCUAAUCUUGAAAUCCGCUCGUGAUGGGGAUUGAUGGUUGCAAUUUUCCGUCAUGAACGAGGAAUACCUUGUAAGCGCGGGUCAUCAUCCCGCGCUGAAUACGUCCCUGCCCUUUGUACACACCGCCCGUCGCUCCUACCGAUUGAGUGGUCCGGUGAGGCUUUGGGAUCUGAGCGGAAAGAGCGUUUCGCUGUUUCUGCUCGGAAAACUCAGUCGAACCUUAUCAUUUAGAGGAAGGAGAAGUCGUAACA